rnacentral:rRNA from 1 species
AGAGUUUGAUCCUGGCUCAGAUUGAACGCUGGCGGCGUGCCUAACACAUGCAAGUCGAGCGGUAACAGGUGUAGCAAUACAUGCUGACGAGCGGCGAACGGGUGAGUAAUGCUUCGGAAUCUACCCAAUGGCGGGGAAUAACUAGCCGAAAGGUUAGCUAAUACCGCAUAAGCUAUGGGGGAAAGCAGGGGAUCGUAAGA